rnacentral:lncRNA from 10 species
CAGUUUAUGUAAGAAAGCUAUUUGUUGGAUGGAUGAAGAAAUGAAUGUGGAGAAAGGGCACAGCACGAAGGAAGCAUGAUAACCCCCAGGGCUCUUCCCUAGGGCAGCUUUCCCGUGUAUGCAAUCUCAGCCACCAUUGGAAUCACUGAACCUGGAAUCACUGUAUCUGGAAAGGGCCGUGGGGGCCCUCUGUCCUACUCCCCACUAGAGCAGGGAAGGAUGAAGCCUGUGUAGACAAGGACUGCUGCCUGACAUGAGGAUGGAAGCCGAGUGCUUCUGUGUUUUUUCCCUAGCUGUUUACACAAAACAAGACUUUGGAAUAUGUGGAGUUUGCAAACAGUAACGUGAAGCGUGGAGGAGGGAGUUGGAACUUGUGCUCUACGGAAUGUGUUGUCAGUUCCAAAGAAAGCCUCUGAGGGUAAACCCUGGGCUCAGAGCAAUGCCGGGCUCACACAAGAUCUGUCGCUUGCUCCUGCUUGCCUGCCUGCCAGAGGGGCCCUCGCUCCUAUCACUACAACCAAAAUGUGCAAUGCAGUAGGAGUGUCUCAGCACUGUCUGCCAGUUUUCUCUUCUUCACCAUUUUCACAUUAAUUCCAGGGGAAGAGCAUCGAAAAAUUUCUGUUAUUUGGGUUGGUGAGAGGCAUAAAAUAACACAGAGCCAGUUUUCUCAGGGCAGAAACAAACUGGAAAGUUCUGGGUUUAGCUCUGUGAAUGACCAUCAUCUCACUGGCAAGGCAUUAAUUUCGGCAAUAACUCAUGGCUUUUCUACACAGCUAAGAGGGCCAUACACCAAUAUAUGGCACCUCAUAAUCUGUUUCCAUCCAGAGCCGGCAAUGUUAACUCAUUUUCCAGCUCCCCAUAUUCCAGCACUGAAUCUGAGCAUUAGUAUCUAGGAAGCAUUUUGCCCCUUCUGCCGUAAAUACAGCUAUUGCUGCUACUUGAAAGACAAUAACAUUGCUUGAGAUUGAUUUACUUCUCUUUCUCAACCAUAUUGUUUAUGUAUUUUAUGGCAAUAUACCAAAUGAACUUUGGGGAAGAAUGAAGAUACAAAUAUACAUAAAUAUAGCCAUUUCCCAACACAUCUAUUAAAUGUGUCAAUACUCUAUUGUUUUAAGAAUAUUGGCCGGCAGUGGCUCAUGCCUGUAAUCCCAGCACUUUGGGAGGCCGAGACAGGCG